GGCAGAGGGUGCAAACGUUGUUCGGAAUUACUGGGCGUAAAGCGCGUGUAGGCGGCCCUGCAAGUCGGGUGUGAAAUCCCACGGCUCAACCGUGGAAGUGCACUCGAAACUGCAGGGCUAGAGUCCUGGAGAGGAAGGUGGAAUGCUUGGUGUAGAGGUGAAAUUCGUAGAUAUCAAGCGGAACACCGGUGGCGAAGGCGGCCUUCUGGACAGUGACUGACGCUGAGACGCGAAAGCGUGGGGAGCAAACAGG
rnacentral:rRNA from 1 species